GGAUGAUUACUCUGAGAGAGGCAAGUUGCCACCUCACCAUGGAAACCCACCCAAAAAUAGACUGCAUUUUCUAUACCAGCUCACCUGAUACUGCUGAUUUUACAGUAACUGUGUUUUAAUAAGCACACAUUUAAAACAGAACGAUUUAAAGCUUCCUGAAAAUCAGUAUUUUUCCUUCUUUCAGACCACAGAUUGAAUCCAAAAGAGAGCAGUUUUAGCUCACCGCAGGGUCUGGUUCAGAUUCCUCCUCCGCUUCCUCAGGACCUUUGAGUUGUUAGCCCCUGAUCGGUGGUCUUGACCCAGCACGGCCUUUCUCAGGGGGUCCUGACAGUCUGGGUCAGUCUUAAACCAGGAUGUCUGGACAUGUAGUUG